rnacentral:pre_miRNA from 1 species
CACCUACUUUCUCCGUCCAACAAACGAUAUCUCAAAUUUGUCAAAAUUUAAAUAUAUUUAGACAUGACUUAAUAUAUAGAUGCAUUCAAAUUUAAUCAAAAUUGACACAUCCUCAUUUGGACGGAGAAAGUAUAUG